rnacentral:rRNA from 1 species
GACGACGCGUGGCGGCGUGGAUUAGGCAUGCAAGUCGAACGGUAUCAUCCUUCGGGGGUGAGAGAGUGGCGAACUGGUGAGUAACACGUAGGUUAUCUACCCUCAAGACGGGGACAACCCAGGGAAACUUGGGCUAAUACCGGAUGUGAGCAACUUUUAGUUGUUUGAAAGGUGGCGUAAGCUGUCGCUUGGGGAUGAGCCUGCGUCCUAUUAGUUAGUUGGUGAGGUAACGGCUCACCUAGGCAAUGAUAGGUAGGCGGCCUUAACGGGUGGUCGCCCACACUGGGAUUGAGAUACGGCCCAGACUCCUACGGGAGGCAGCAGUCGAGAAUAGUCUACAAUGGUCGGAAGACUGAUAGCGCGACGCCGCGUGAACGAUGAAUCCCUUCGGGGUGUAAAGUUCUUUUAUAUGUGAGCAGUGCUUCUUAUAUUAACAGUAUGGGGAGAGAGAUAUUAGCAUAUGAAUAAGCAACGGCUAACUCCGUG